AUUCAAAUUACUCCGUCGUUGUCGAAUAAAUGUAGGAAAUAUGGACCUCACUGAAAUCAGAAGAUAAGGCAACAUUAAAUAAGUUCGCUACUACUAAAACACUACAUGAUGGCCUGGGGACUUACAACUUAUUUUUCAAGGACAUAUUUGUUUUUUUACUUACAAAACAUAUAGACCCUAGUAUGUUGGACAUUAAAUUCAAUUAUUCAGUAGUCAGCAGAAGAGGGAGGUGAGAGAAGAGAUGGAACUGGAUAGAAAUACAUUUCAAUGAUGCUCAUUUGGAUGGAUCUCUCCUACGGAGUAAUCAGAUUUAUGGAUCUGCAUCCAUUCAUCCUUCCCGUUCCUUGACUAUCCAAUUCACACGCCUUCUUAUACUCUCUUCAUUGUCCUGGUCUGUUUAAGGAAUCUCGACUCAAAAGGCGAGAUCCCUUGAAGGAGUGCUUCACUCGGUGGAUCUCUUCUCCUUUAAUUAAAGAUUUGUUCAUUUUGUCAGCUGCCAUUUCCAUUUUUCAGUUGUACUUUGAGAUACACGAUCUAUAAGGAUAAUAAUAUAAGCUGUACACUUCAAGCUCA
rnacentral:lncRNA from 1 species